rnacentral:rRNA from 1 species
GCGGCCGAUAUCUGAUUAGCUAGUUGGUAGGGUAAAGGCCUACCAAGGCGACGAUCAGUAGCUGGUCUGAGAGGACGACCAGCCACACUGGGACUGAGACACGGCCCAGACUCCUACGGGAGGCAGCAGUGGGGAAUUUUGGACAAUGGGGGCAACCCUGAUCCAGCCAUUCCGCGUGAGUGAAGAAGGCCUUCGGGUUGUAAAGCUCUUUCGGUGGGGACGAAAAGGCGGGCUCUAACAGAGUCUGUUCAUGACGGUACCCGAAGAAGAAGCACCGGCUAACUACGUGCCAGCAGCCGCGGUAAUACGUAGGGUGCGAGCGUUAAUCGGAAUUACUGGGCGUAAAGGGUGCGCAGGUGGUUAUUUAAGACAGAUGUGAAAUCCCCGGGCUCAACCUGGGAACUGCGUUUGUGACUGGAUAGCUAGAGUGCGGCAGAGGGGGGUGGAAUUCCACGUGUAGCAGUGAAAUGCGUAGAGAUGUGGAGGAACACCGAUGGCGAAGGCAGCCCC